CUUGCCAUUGAUGAGCUGGAGGCCAAUCAGCCCUAUGUGUUGACGUUAAAAUGAAGCAGUGAGCUGUUUACCCUUGACAUUUAGGAGCCCUUUCCAACACCAAAAAACCCAUAGGGUCACCCUUUGAGCCAGCAUAGGCAUGCUACAAAAUGCAAACUUUGACCCUUGAGGUUGGAUUUACUGAACUGAGCCCACUAGCUCCACCUCUGCCCAAACUGCGGUAAUUAUACAGUGAAGAGUGAAGUGCAGAGAUUUUGGUGCACUGCUGAGAUAACAUCAUGCAGUAAACCUCUUACCUGGCAGAGAGAAUGAUCACUCGGGCCUCCAGCUCUUUGGCCUCCAGAAGCAGGG